UAAGGCUCUUUUUUUCCCCUGGUGAAGAAUCUCGAGCAAAAAUGGACCCAAAAAUGGAUUCAACUCGGACUGAAAGAGUCGUCAUAUUAGUCGCAUCCAGAGCUGCAGGACACAUGGAGGAAACGGCAGCACUGGGAGUUCAGAGAUCUGCUGCCGACACCAAAAACAGCAAACCUGAAGACGACUCCAGUUCAAAGAAGGAGUUUCCUGCUGGCAAACUGUAGACCAGACGACUGCUGUCUCCAACAUCAGGGUCCGAGGCCUGAGGG